rnacentral:tRNA from 1 species
GCUGAGGUGGCGGAAUUGGCAGACGCGCUAGGUUCAGGUCCUAGUGGGAGUAACAUCCCAUGGGGGUUCGAAUCCCCCCCUCAGCA